GCCGCCUUAGCUCAGUUGGUAGAGCUACACUUUUGUAAAGUGAGGGUCCCCAGUUCGAGUCUGGGAGGCGGCUCCA
rnacentral:tRNA from 1 species